UCAGACACCGGUCCCCGUACGAUCAUAGAAGUUAAACAACGCCGAGCCUUGUCAGUACCCAGAUGGGUGACCGCUUGUGAAUGCCAGGUGCUGCAAA